UCACUAAGAGAUGGUCCCGCGGUGCAUUAGCUAGUUGGUAAGGUAAUGGCUUACCAAGGCGAUGAUGCAUAGCCGAGUUGAGAGACUGAUCGGCCACAAUGGGACUGAGACACGGCCCAUACUCCUACGGGAGGCAGCAGUAGGGAAUCUUCCACAAUGGGCGAAAGCCUGAUGGAGCAACGCCGCGUGUGUGAUGAAGGGUUUCGGCUCGUAAAACACUGUUGUAAGAGAAGAAUGACAUUGAGAGUAACUGUUCAAUGUGUGACGGUAUCUUACCAGAAAGGAACGGCUAAAUACGUGCCAGCAGCCGCGGUAAUACGUAUGUUCCAAGCGUUAUCCGGAUUUAUUGGGCGUAAAGCGAGCGCAGACGGUUAUUUAAGUCUGAAGUGAAAGCCCUCAGCUCAACUGAGGAAUUGCUUUGGAAACUGGAUGACUUGAGUGCAGUAGAGGAAAGUGGAACUCCAUGUGUAGCGGUGAAAUGCGUAGAUAU
rnacentral:rRNA from 1 species